rnacentral:lncRNA from 1 species
GAGUAGAGAGUGGUGGAGAGAAAGAGAGAGAAGGUCAGAGAGGUCAGUAAAGUCCAGACCAUGCACAGCUUCAGGUCAGGUGAAGAAUGGGAAGCUACUGGCAGAUUUUAAGCAGGGGAAUGCCAUGAUCUAAUGUUUUCAAAAGACCACUCUAGCAGGAGUGUGGUGGGGUGAGAGUGGGUGUGGGAAGAGCAGUUAUAUGACCAUUUAAGCGAUCUUAGCAGACAUGAUGGCAGCUCUGCAAUGAAGACCAGGAGAUGAACACGGGAUACAUUUCGGAGUUGUAGCUGAUCGGGCAUACUGAUGGAUUAGAGGGGGGUAGCAGUAAGCAAGGGUCUUUGAAGAGUUCACCCAGGAGCUUCAAAAUGAGGAACAGGGCUUGCAAUUUCCUCGAAUACUAAGAACAUCCAGCUAUUUGUAGACAGAUAAAAGGGAGCAGCCCCCAGAGGUGCUGAUCCAGCCAAGAUAGCUCAUCCAGGUGCGUAUAACUCCCCACCAA